rnacentral:rRNA from 1 species
GGUAAAUCUCGUGCCAGCCACCGCGGUUAUACGAGAGACCCUAGUUGAUAUUUACGGCGUAAAGAGUGGUUAAGAAUAAAAUUUAAUAAAGCCAAAAACCUACCAAGCCGUCACACGCAUACGAAGGUAUGAGACCCACACACGAAAGUAGCUUUAACAAAACUGACACCACGAAAGCUAAGAAACAAACUAGGAUUAGAUACCCCAC